GGAGAAAUUAACAGAGUUACUGCUAAUAACUCUUUGUCAGUUAAAUUUGACUUUCUCUU
rnacentral:tRNA from 1 species